CUGAGACUUUCAGAGAUGCUUUGGUGCCUUCGGGAACUCUGAGACAGGUGCUGCAUGGCUGUCGUCAGCUCGUGUUGUGAAAUGUUGGGUUAAGUCCCGCAACGAGCGCAACCCUUAUCCUUUGUUGCCAGCGGUCCGGCCGGGAACUCAAAGGAGACUGCCAGUGAUAAACUGGAGGAAGGUGGGGAUGACGUCAAGUCAUCAUGGCCCUUACGAGUAGGGCUACACACGUGCUACAAUGGCGCAUACAAAGAGAAGCGACCUCGCGAGAGCAAGCGGACCUCAUAAAGUGCGUCGUAGUCCGGAUUGGAGUCUGCAACUCGACUCCAUGAAGUCGGAAUCGCUAGUAAUCGUAGAUCAGAAUGCUACGGUGAAUACGUUCCCGGGUCUUGUACACACCGA
rnacentral:rRNA from 1 species